ensembl:lncRNA
CGCUCACUUCCUGGUUACGCUCACUUCCUGGUUACGGUGGUGUCCAUGGUUACGGGGGUCUCCAUGGUUACUGCAUGCUUUGUGUACAGUACUGUCCGGAGAGGAGAGGCCCCUCCACCUCCUUCCUGUAAGUAUAGCGUUAUAGACUUCCUCUUCCUGUCUCUUACUCUGACCGCCUCUCUAACGGACGGAACCCUCGUCGUCACGAAGCCACGCCCCCCUGGGCCCGCCCCCGGGUCCAGGGGUGUGGCCUCGGUCUUGUUUACCGAACAUCAAGCCAGCCCCCCCUCGCUCACCUCAGUUGACCUCAGUUGACCUCGGUGCGUUGUUGUGACAACUGGAAUAAAGGUUUGAAUCAAUAAAGGUUUGAGUCGCGACGGGACGACAUCGCCACACGGAAUCACUCUGACUUUGGGGGGGAGACGCCCGAUUGGCUGACCCCAUCGGGCGCCAUCGGCCUCCUCCGGACUUUACAAAACCGCCUUAGACCGUCUGAAUCGGUUUUUCAAAAUAAAAGCGUGGACGUUCGAAUAUUUGAAGUGUUCCUGCGGUCCGGGCGUCGACGUCACCUGACGCUACGGACGCGCCGGGGCCGCCAUCUUUAUCAGGUCGCUUCCUCCUUCCUGUCUGCUUUCUUGGUGACGAUUUCAAACGUUUUCUUAUUGCCAAUCAGUUCCAGAAACUGUGUCAUGAUUAUUUUUGUGAAGUUUUCCCACAUUUUGUGAAAAAAAAAAAAGCCGUGCAUUAGUGCCUGGGUCUUCGCUCUCACCAAUCAGUGCCUUAAAACAAAACCAACUGAAAUCGUACAAAGUGGGACUCCUGUUUCUAAGCAGGAGUUUCUUUUAUUACGUGGAAAAACAAAUUAUUUGGAUAUCUAAAGUGUUUUUUUUUGAUUUUAGCUGGGAAAACUGUCUUUGUAACAGAUAAGUUAUUUGUAAAAAUAAUUAAAAAAAUCUAUUCUGGAAAAGUCUUCAAUGGUGUUGGAAGCCGAAGCCUCUGUCAG